GGGCGCGUAGCUCAGUUGGAUAGAGCGACUGACUACGGAUCAGUAGGUCGUGGGUUCGAAUCCUGCCGCGCCCG
rnacentral:tRNA from 1 species